GUCCCAGCUACUCAGGAGGCUGAGGCAGGAGGAUCACUUGAGCCCAGGAGUUCAAGGCUGUAAUGUGCCAUGAUUGUGCCUGUGAAUAGCCACUGCACUCUAGGCCUGGGCAAUACAAUGAGACCCUGUCUCAA